rnacentral:rRNA from 1 species
GGGGAAUAUUGGACAAUGGGCGCAAGCCUGAUCCAGCCAUACCGCGUGGGUGAAGAAGGCCUUCGGGUUGUAAAGCCCUUUUGUUGGGAAAGAAAUCCAGCCGGCUAAUACCUGGUUGGGAUGACGGUACCCAAAGAAUAAGCACCGGCUAACUUCGUGCCAGCAGCCGCGGUAAUACGAAGGGUGCAAGCGUUACUCGGAAUUACUGGGCGUAAAGCGUGCGUAGGUGGUCGUUUAAGUCUGUUGUGAAAGCCCUGGGCUCAACCUGGGAACUGCAGUGGAAACUGGACGACUAGAGUGUGGUAGAGGGUAGCGGAAUUCCUGGUGUAGCAGUGAAAUGCGUAGAGAUCAGGAGGAACAUCCAUGGCGAAGGCAGCUACCUGGACCAACACUGACACUGAGGCACGAAAGCGUGGGGAGCAAAC